UGCACAAACUUUUCUCAAAUCUGUCCUUUGUUGACAAAUUUGUUUUGAUUUUUCUUUUUGAAAAUUGUCAACAAAAAUUAUUUUCUUUGGUUAAAAUCAAAAUCACGCGAAUUUAGGACCCAUUUCCGGACGAAACUCUAAGAAUGGAGGCGUCAAAAAGUUGCAGGAAUUCAACAGAAGUGAAGAAUAAGUGGAGGAGAUACAGAAGCUCAAAUAAGGGGAAAGAAAGCAUCUAGGUAUCAAGGCAAGAGGAUGCAGUGACAGCUGGGAUGGCAAUCAAUGAAUGAAAUGUGUAAAAUAAUUAAAAAAAUGAAUAAAUAAAUAUUUUUUACCAUUGAAAAAAUAA